CCAAGUUUUUAAGGGCGCACGGUGGAUGCCUUGGCACCAGGAACCGAUGAAGGACGUGGGAGGCCACGAUAGGCCCCGGGGAGUCGUCAACCAGGCUUUGAUCCGGGGGUGUCCGAAUGGGGAAACCCGGCAGUCGUCAUGGGCUGUCACCCUUGCCUGAACACAUAGGGCAAGUGGAGGGAACGCGGGGAAGUGAAACAUCUCAGUACCCGCAGGAAGAGAAAACAACCGUGAUUCCGGGAGUAGUGGCGAGCGAAACCGGAUGAGGCCAAACCGUAUGCGUGUGAGACCCGGCAGGGGUUGCGCAUACGGGGUUGUGGGAUCUCUCUUUCAUGGUCUGCCGGCCAUGAGACGAGUCAGAAACCGUUGAUGUAGGCGAAGGACAUGCGAAAGGUCCGGCGUAGAGGGUAAGACCCCCGUAGUCGAAACGUCAGCGGCUCGUUUGAGAGACACCCAAGUAGCACGGGGCCCGAGAAAUCCCGUGUGAAUCUGGCGGGACCACCCGCUAAGCCUAAAUAUUCCCUGGUGACCGAUAGCGGAUAGUACCGUGAGGGAAUGGUGAAAAGUACCGCGGGAGCGGAGUGAAAUAGUACCUGAAACCGUGUGCCUACAAGCCGUGGGAGCGUCGCGUUGAGUGCUUGCACUCAACGUCGUGACUGCGUGCCUUUUGAAGAAUGAGCCUGCGAGUUUGCGGUGUGUUGCGAGGUUAACCCGGGUGGGGAAGCCGUAGCGAAAGCGAGUCCGAACAGGGCGGUUCAGUAGCAUGCUCAAGACCCGAAGCGGAGUGAUCUAGCCAUGGGCAGGUUGAAGCGGAGGUAAGACUUCGUGGAGGACCGAACCCACCAGGGUUGAAAACCUGGGGGAUGACCUGUGGUUAGGGGUGAAAGGCCAAUCAAACUCCGUGAUAGCUGGUUCUCCCCGAAAUGCAUUUAGGUGCAGCGUCGUGUGUUUCUUGCCGGAGGUAGAGCACUGGAUAGGCGAUGGGCCCUACCGGGUUACUGACCUUAGCCAAACUCCGAAUGCCGGUAAGUGAGAGCGCGGCAGUGAGACUGUGGGGGAUAAGCUCCAUGGUCGAGAGGGAAACAGCCCAGAGCAUCGACUAAGGCCCCUAAGCGUACGCUAAGUGGGAAAGGAUGUGGAGUCGCACAGACAACCAGGAGGUUGGCUUAGAAGCAGCCACCCUUGAAAGAGUGCGUAAUAGCUCACUGGUCUAGUGAUUCCGCGCCGACAAUGUAGCGGGGCUCAAGCGUACCGCCGAAGUCGUGUCAUUGCAGCAGAUAGCCCCAACGGGUGCUGUGAUGGGUAGGGGAGCGUCGUCUGCCGGGUGAAGCAGCCGCGGAAGCGAGUUGUGGACGGUUGACGAGUGAGAAUGCAGGCAUGAGUAGCGAUUCACACGUGAGAAACGUGUGCGCCGAUUGACUAAGGGUUCCUGGGUCAAGCUGAUCUGCCCAGGGUAAGUCGGGACCUAAGGCGAGGCCGACAGGCGUAGUCGAUGGAUAACCGGUUGAUAUUCCGGUACCCGCUGUGAAGCGUCAAACAUCGAAUCCAGUGAUGCUAAGCCCGUGAAGCCGCCGGCUGAGUCUUCGGACGAGGUCGGAGUGGUGGAGCCGGUGACCCGAGCUGGUAGUAGGUGAGUGAUGGGGUGACGCAGGAAGGUAGUCCAUCCCGGGCGGUGGUUGUCCCGGGGUAAGGGUGUAGGACGUCAGGUAGGCAAAUCCGCCUGGCACGUAGUCUGAGACCUGAUGCCGAGCCGAUUGUGGUGAAGUGGAUGAUCCUAUGCUGUCGAGAAAAGCCUCUAGCGAGUUUCAUGGCGGCCCGUACCCUAAACCGACUCAGGUGGUCAGGUAGAGAAUACCGAGGCGUUCGGGUGAACUAUGGUUAAGGAACUCGGCAAAAUGCCCCCGUAACUUCGGGAGAAGGGGGGCCACAUCCGGUGAUGAGCUUUGCGCUCUGAGCUGGGGGUGGCCGCAGAGACCAGCGAGAAGCGACUGUUUACUAAAAACACAGGUCCGUGCGAAGCCGUAAGGCGAUGUAUACGGACUGACGCCUGCCCGGUGCUGGAACGUUAAGGGGACCGGUUAGCUUGGAUUCGUCCAGGCGAAGCUGAGAACUUAAGCGCCAGUAAACGGCGGUGGUAACUAUAACCAUCCUAAGGUAGCGAAAUUCCUUGUCGGGUAAGUUCCGACCUGCACGAAUGGCGUAACGACUUCUCGACUGUCUCAACCAUAGGCCCGGUGAAAUUGCACUACGAGUAAAGAUGCUCGUUUCGCGCAGCAGGACGGAAAGACCCCGGGACCUUUACUACAGUUUGAUAUUGGUGUUCGGUUCGGCUUGUGUAGGAUAGCUGGGAGACUGUGAAGCUCGGACGCCAGUUCGGGUGGAGUCGUCGUUGAAAUACCAGUCUGGUCGUGCUGGAUGUCUAACCUGGGUCCGUGAUCCGGAUCAGGGACAGUGUCUGAUGGGUAGUUUAACUGGGGCGGUUGCCUCCUAAAGGGUAACGGAGGCGCCCAAAGGUUCCCUCAGCCUGGUUGGCAAUCAGGUGUUGAGUGUAAGUGCACAAGGGAGCUUGACUGUGAGACCGACGGGUCGAGCAGGGACGAAAGUCGGGACUAGUGAUCCGGCGGUGGCUUGUGGAAGCGCCGUCGCUCAACGGAUAAAAGGUACCCCGGGGAUAACAGGCUGAUCUUCCCCAAGAGUCCAUAUCGACGGGAUGGUUUGGCACCUCGAUGUCGGCUCGUCGCAUCCUGGGGCUGGAGUCGGUCCCAAGGGUUGGGCUGUUCGCCCAUUAAAGCGGUACGCGAGCUGGGUUUAGAACGUCGUGAGACAGUUCGGUCCCUAUCCGCUGUGCGCGUAGGAGUCUUGAGAAGGGCUGUCCCUAGUACGAGAGGACCGGGACGGACGAACCUCUGGUGUGCCAGUUGUUCUGCCAAGGGCAUGGCUGGUUGGCUACGUUCGGGAGGGAUAACCGCUGAAAGCAUCUAAGCGGGAAGCCUGCUUCGAGAUGAGGACUCCCACCUCCUAGAGAGGGUAAGGCUCCCAGUAGACGACUGGGUUGAUAGGCCGGAUAUGGAAGCACGGUAACGUGUGGAGUUGACCGGUACUAAUAGGCCGAGGGCUUGUCCUC
rnacentral:rRNA from 1 species